GAUGAACGCUGGCGGCGUGCCUAAUACAUGCAAGUCGAGCGAACAGACGAGAAGCUUGCUUCUCUGAUGUUAGCGGCGGACGGGUGAGUAACACGUGGGUAACCUACCUAUAAGACUGGGAUAACUCCGGGAAACCGGGGCUAAUACCGGAUAAUAUUUUGAACCGCAUGGUUCGAUAGUGAAAGACGGUUUCGGCUGUCACUUAUAGAUGGACCCGCGCCGUAUUAGCCAGUUGGUAAGGUAACGGCUUACCAAGGCGACGAUACGUAGCCGACCUGAGAGGGUGAUCGGCCACACUGGAACUGAGACACGGUCCAGACUCCUACGGGAGGCAGCAGUAGGGAAUCUUCCGCAAUGGGCGAAAGCCUGACGGAGCAACGCCGCGUGAGUGAUGAAGGUCUUCGGAUCGUAAAACUCUGUUGUUAGGGAAGAACAAAUUUGUUAGUAACUGAACAAGUCUUGACGGUACCUAACCAGAAAGCCACGGCUAACUACGUGCCAGCAGCCGCGGUAAUACGUAGGUGGCAAGCGUUAUCCGGAAUUAUUGGGCGUAAAGCGCGCGUAGGCGGUUUCUUAAGUCUGAUGUGAAAGCCCACGGCUCAACCGUGGAGGGUCAUUGGAAACUGGGAAACUUGAGUGCAGAAGAGGAGAGUGGAAUUCCAUGUGUAGCGGUGAAAUGCGCAGAGAUAUGGAGGAACACCAGUGGCGAAGGCGGCUCUCUGGUCUGUAACUGACGCUGAUGUGCGAAAGCGUGGGGAUCAAACAGGAUUAGAUACCCUGGUAGUCCACGCCGUAAACGAUGAGUGCUAAGUGUUAGGGGGUUUCCGCCCCUUAGUGCUGCAGCUAACGCAUUAAGCACUCCGCCUGGGGAGUACGACCGCAAGGUUGA
rnacentral:rRNA from 1 species